rnacentral:ncRNA from 1 species
CUUCGGGGUAGGGUGUAAUUCCCAGCCGGCGGUAAUUGUAUAUGCUACAUAAGCCCGCGAGCCAUAAGGCAUGACUUGGUGUGAUUCCAAGGCCGACAGUACAGUCUGGAUGGAAGAAG